UUUAUAGAAUUGCAAGUCAUGAACUAAAAUAAAUAAAUUCCAAACCUUUUAGCAUCAAAAUUUGGACAUUACAAUUUUAAGAAAUGGAUAAUUAAAAGUACAGAUGCUACAAUGCUGCCUCCUAGCACAGAUAACCUAAAGGAAGGCAACAUUCAAACAGGCUGAGCAACAACAAUCCACAACACUGAGUUAUUGCAAUUAUGGAUUGCUUUCUCGAUGGAAAAAUAGCAUAACGUAACUUAGCGCAUUUUGUAAUAUUGAACCCUCGAGACCGUGCAUCGUCG
rnacentral:lncRNA from 1 species